rnacentral:tRNA from 1 species
GGGCCGGUAGCUCAGUUGGUAGAGCGACGGGCUCUUAACCCGUAGGUCCCGGGUUCGAGUCCCGGCCGGCCCGCCA